GAUCCUGGCUCAGGAUGAACGCUAGCUACAGGCUUAACACAUGCAAGUCGAGGGGGCGAGCAUGGUCUUAGCUUGCUAAGGCUGAUGGCGACCGGCGCACGGGUGAGUAACACGUAUCCAACCUGCCGUCUACUCUUGGCCAGCCUUCUGAAAGGAAGAUUAAUCCAGGAUGGCAUCAUGAGUUCACAUGUCCGCAUGAUUAAAGGUAUUUUCCGGUAGACGAUGGGG
rnacentral:rRNA from 1 species